GAUGAACGCUGGCGGCGUGCCUAAUACAUGCAAGUCGAGCGAAUGGAUUAAGAGCUUGCUCUUAUGAAGUUAGCGGCGGACGGGUGAGUAACACGUGGGUAACCUGCCCAUAAGACUGGGAUAACUCCGGGAAACCGGGGCUAAUACCGGAUAACAUUUUGAACCGCAUGGUUCGAAAUUGAAAGGCGGCUUCGGCUGUCACUUAUGGAUGGACCCGCGUCGCAUUAGCUAGUUGGUGAGGUAACGGCUCACCAAGGCAACGAUGCGUAGCCGACCUGAGAGGGUGAUCGGCCACACUGGGAGUGAGACACGGCCCAGACUCCUGCGGGAGGCAGCAGUAGGGAAUCUUCCGCAAUGGACGAAAGUCUGACGGAGCAACGGCGCGUGAGUGAUGAAGGCUUUCGGGUCGUAAAACUCUGUUGUUAGGGAAGAACAAGUGCUAGUUGAAUAAGCUGGCACCUUGACGGUACCUAACCAGAAAGCCACGGCUAACUACGUGCCAGCCGCCGCAGUAA
rnacentral:rRNA from 1 species